rnacentral:rRNA from 1 species
UGCCAGCCGCCGCGGUAAUACGUAGGGUGCAAGCGUUGUUCGGAAUCACUGGGCGUAAAGGGUGUGUAGGUGGAAAAUUAAGUUAUGGGUGAAAGCCCGGGGCUCAACCCCGGAAGUGCUCAUAAUACUGGUUUUCUAGAGUUGUUUAGAGGUUAGCGGAAUUCCUGGUGUAGAGGUGAAAUUCGUAGAUAUCAGGAAGAACACCGGAGGCGAAGGCGGCUAACUAGAAAUAUACUGACACUGAGGCACGAAAGCAUGGGGAGCAAACAGGAUUAGAUA